GACGAACGCUGGCGGCGUGCUUAACACAUGCAAGUCGAACGUGAUUUUUAUGGAAUAGCCUUCGGGAUAGGAAAUAGAAUGAAAGUGGCGAACGGGUGAGUAACACGUGAGCAACCUACCUUACACAGGGGGAUAGCCGUUGGAAACGACGAUUAAUACCGCAUGAGACCACAGAACCGCAUGGUAAAGGGGUCAAAGAUUUAUCGGUGUAAGAUGGGCUCGCGUCUGAUUAGCUAGUUGGAAGGGUAAAGGCCUACCAAGGCGACGAUCAGUAGCCGGUCUGAGAGGAUGAACGGCCACAUUGGAACUGAGACACGGUCCAAACUCCUACGGGAGGCAGCAGUGGGGAAUAUUGCACAAUGGGGGAAACCCUGAUGCAGCGACGCCGCGUGAGCGAAGAAGGUUUUCGAAUCGUAAAGCUCUGUCCUAUGAGAAGAUAAUGACGGUAUCAUAGGAGGAAGCCCCGGCUAAAUACGUGCCAGCAGCCGCGGUAAUACGUAUGGGGCGAGCGUUGUCCGGAAUUAUUGGGCGUAAAGGGUACGUAGGCGGUCUAUUAAGUCAGGUGUGAAAGCGUGAGGCUUAACCUCAUUAAGCACUUGAAACUGAUAGACUUGAGUGAAGGAGAGGAAAGUGGAAUUCCUAGUGUAGCGGUGAAAUGCGUAGAUAUUAGGAGGAAUACCGGGGGGCGAAGGCGACUUUCUGGACUUUUACUGACGCUCAGGUACGAGAGCGUGGGGGAGCACACAGGUAUUAUAUACCCUGGUAGUUCCAGAGCCGAAUUCCCUCAUGGAUACCAAGCUCUCCGACACCGUCCCCCCCGGGGGGGGCCAAGAAAAACAAGCUUUUGUUCCCUUUAUAGAUGUUCGUUAAC
rnacentral:rRNA from 1 species